UUAGUUAGUUGGCGGGGUAACGGCCUACCAAGGCGAAGACGGGUAGCCGGCCUGAGAGGGUGAACGGCCACACUGGGACUGAGACACGGCCCAGACUCCUACGGGAGGCAGGAGUUGGGAAUAUUGCACAAUGGGGGAAACCCUGAUGCAGCAAUGCCGCGUGCAGGAUGAAGGGCUUCGGCUUGUAAACUUCUAUNNNNNNNNNNNNNNNNCCCGACGGUAGUGUAUGAAUAAGCCCCGGCUAACUACGUGCCAGCAGCCGCGGUAAUACGUAGGGGGCGAGCGUUGUCCGGAGUUACUGGGCGUAAAGAGCGUGUAGGCGGUUGGAAAAGUCAGGUGUGAAAUUCUUCGGCUCAACCGGGGGACUGCGCCUGAAACUUUCCGACUGGAGUUUGGGAGGGGCAACUGGAAUUCCUGGUGUAACGGUGAAAUGUGUAGAUAUCAGGAGGAACACCCGUGGCGAAGGCGGGUUGCUGGACCAAAACUGACGCUGAGACGCGAAAGCGUGGGUAGCAAACAGGAUUAGAUACCCUGGUAGUCCACGCUGUAAACGAUGAGUGCUAGGUGUUGGAGAAAUUCAGUCAGUGCCGCAGCUAACGCAAUAAGCAUUCCACCUGGGGAGUACGAUCGCAAGAUUGAAACUCAAAGGAAUUGACGGGGGCCCGCACAAGCGGUGGAGCAUGUGGUUUAAUUCGACGCAACGCGAAGAACCUUACCAAAACUUGACAUCCUUUUGACCCAUUCUUAACGGGACCGCCUUUCGGGGACAAAAGAGACAGGUGGUGCAUGGUUGUCGUCAGCUCGUGUCGUGAGAUGUUGGGUUAAGUCCCGCAACGAGCGCAACCCUUAUCUUUAGUAGCCAUCAGGUCAAGCUGGGCACUCUAGAGAGACUGCCGUGGAUAACACGGAGGAAGGUGGGGAUGACGUCAAAUCAUCAUGCCCCUUAUGUUUUGGGCUACACACGUGCUACAAUGGCUGCGACAAAGAGAAGCAAAAGAGCGAUCUGGAGCAAAACUCAAAAAAGCAGUCUCAGUUCGGAUUGUAGUCUGCAACUCGACUACAUGAAGCUGGAAUCGCUAGUAAUCUCGGAUCAGCAUGCCGAGGUGAAUACGUUCCCG
rnacentral:rRNA from 1 species